rnacentral:rRNA from 1 species
GGUUAAGCGACUAAGCGUACACGGUGGAUGCCCUGGCAGUCAGAGGCGAUGAAGGACGUGCUAAUCUGCGAAAAGCGUCGGUAAGGUGAUAUGAACCGUUAUAACCGGCGAUGUCCGAAUGGGGAAACCCAGUGCAAUUCGUUGCACUAUCGUUAACUGAAUACAUAGGUUAACGAGGCGAACCGGGGGAACUGAAACAUCUAAGUACCCCGAGGAAAAGAAAUCAACCGAGAUUCCCCCAGUAGCGGCGAGCGAACGGGGAGCAGCCCAGAGUCUGAAUCAGCUUGUGUGUUAGUGGAACGGUCUGGAAAGUCCGACGGUACAGGGUGAUAGUCCCGUACACCAAAAUGCACAGGUUGUGAACUCGAAGAGUAGGGCGGGACACGUGGUAUCCUGUCUGAAUAUGGGGGGACCAUCCUCCAAGGCUAAAUACUCCUGACUGACCGAUAGUGAACCAGUACCGUGAGGGAAAGGCGAAAAGAACCCCGGCGAGGGGAGUGAAAAAGAACCUGAAACCGUGUACGUACAAGCAGUGGGAGCACCUUCGGGUGUGACUGCGUACCUUUUGUAUAAUGGGUCAGCGACUUAUAUUCUGUAGCAAGGUUAACCGUAUAGGGGAGCCGCAGGGAAACCGAGUCUUAACUGGGCGUUAAGUUGCAGGGUAUAGACCCGAAACCCGGUGAUCUAGCCAUGGGCAGGUUGAAGGUUGGGUAACACUAACUGGAGGACCGAACCGACUAAUGUUGAAAAAUUAGCGGAUGACUUGUGGCUGGGGGUGAAAGGCCAAUCAAACCGGGAGAUAGCUGGUUCUCCCCGAAAGCUAUUUAGGUAGCGCCUCGUGAACUCAUCUUCGGGGGUAGAGCACUGUUUCGGCUAGGGGGUCAUCCCGACUUACCAACCCGAUGCAAACUACGAAUACCGAAGAAUGUUAUCACGGGAGACACACGGCGGGUGCUAACGUCCGUCGUGAAGAGGGAAACAACCCAGACCGCCAGCUAAGGUCCCAAAGUCAUGGUUAAGUGGGAAACGAUGUGGGAAGGCACAGACAGCCAGGAUGUUGGCUUAGAAGCAGCCAUCAUUUAAAGAAAGCGUAAUAGCUCACUGGUCGAGUCGGCCUGCGCGGAAGAUGUAACGGGGCUAAACCAUGCACCGAAGCUGCGGCAGCGACACUAUGUGUUGUUGGGUAGGGGAGCGUUCUGUAAGCCUGCGAAGGUGACCUGUGAGGGUUGCUGGAGGUAUCAGAAGUGCGAAUGCUGACAUAAGUAACGAUAAAGCGGGUGAAAAGCCCGCUCGCCGGAAGACCAAGGGUUCCUGUCCAACGUUAAUCGGGGCAGGGUGAGUCGACCCCUAAGGCGAGGCCGAAAGGCGUAGUCGAUGGGAAACAGGUUAAUAUUCCUGUACUUGGUGUUACUGCGAAGGGGGGACGGAGAAGGCUAUGUUAGCCGGGCGACGGUUGUCCCGGUUUAAGCAUGUAGGCUGGUUGUCCAGGCAAAUCCGGAUAAUCAAGGCUGAGGUGUGAUGACGAGGCACUACGGUGCUGAAGUAACAAAUGCCCUGCUUCCAGGAAAAGCCUCUAAGCAUCAGGUAACAUUAAAUCGUACCCCAAACCGACACAGGUGGUCAGGUAGAGAAUACCAAGGCGCUUGAGAGAACUCGGGUGAAGGAACUAGGCAAAAUGGUGCCGUAACUUCGGGAGAAGGCACGCUGGUGUGUAGGUGAAGUCCCUGCGGAUGGAGCUGAGACCAGUCGAAGAUACCAGCUGGCUGCAACUGUUUAUUAAAAACACAGCACUGUGCAAACACGAAAGUGGAUGUAUACGGUGUGACGCCUGCCCGGUGCCGGAAGGUUAAUUGAUGGGGUUAUCCGUAAGGAGAAGCUCUUGAUCGAAGCCCCGGUAAACGGCGGCCGUAACUAUAACGGUCCUAAGGUAGCGAAAUUCCUUGUCGGGUAAGUUCCGACCUGCACGAAUGGCGUAAUGAUGGCCAGGCUGUCUCCACCCGAGACUCAGUGAAAUUGAACUCGCUGUGAAGAUGCAGUGUACCCGCGGCAAGACGGAAAGACCCCGUGAACCUUUACUAUAGCUUGACACUGAACAUUGAGCCUUGAUGUGUAGGAUAGGUGGGAGGCUUUGAAGCGUGGACGCCAGUCUGCGUGGAGCCAACCUUGAAAUACCACCCUUUAAUGUUUGAUGUUCUAACGUUGGCCCCUUACCGGGGUUGCGGACAGUGUCUGGUGGGUAGUUUGACUGGGGCGGUCUCCUCCCAAAGCGUAACGGAGGAGCACGAAGGUUAGCUAAUCCUGGUCGGACAUCAGGAGGUUAGUGCAAUGGCAUAAGCUAGCUUGACUGCGAGCGUGACGGCGCGAGCAGGUGCGAAAGCAGGUCAUAGUGAUCCGGUGGUUCUGAAUGGAAGGGCCAUCGCUCAACGGAUAAAAGGUACUCCGGGGAUAACAGGCUGAUACCGCCCAAGAGUUCAUAUCGACGGCGGUGUUUGGCACCUCGAUGUCGGCUCAUCACAUCCUGGGGCUGAAGUAGGUCCCAAGGGUAUGGCUGUUCGCCAUUUAAAGUGGUACGCGAGCUGGGUUUAGAACGUCGUGAGACAGUUCGGUCCCUAUCUGCCGUGGGCGCUGGAGAAUUGAGGGGGGCUGCUCCUAGUACGAGAGGACCGGAGUGGACGCAUCACUGGUGUUCGGGUUGUCAUGCCAAUGGCACUGCCCGGUAGCUAAAUGCGGAAGAGAUAAGUGCUGAAAGCAUCUAAGCACGAAACUUGCCCCGAGAUGAGUUCUCCCUGAGACUAUAAGUCUCCUGAAGGAACGUUAAAGACGAUGACGUUGAUAGGCCGGGUGUGUAAGCGCAGCGAUGCGUUGAGCUAACCGGUACUAAUGAACCGUGAGGCUUAACCUU